AGGCUGUGGAAUAGUCGCUGGCUCUCCUGUAGUACUGUGUGUGGCCUGUAGGCUGUGGAAUAGUCGCUGGCUCUCCUGUAGUACUGUGUGUGGCCUGUAGGCUGUGGAAUAGUCCUGCUUUUGAGGGAGUGUUUCAGAGCAGCAAUUGCUACAUUUAAAUUACAUUGAAAUGUAGACAGACAAGACUGAGCGAGCGGUCGGCUGUGGUGUUGGACAGUUGCCAGACUCCUCACCCUCUUUGGGAUGUUAUCUGUGGUCAGGCAGACAUCGCAGGGCCCACAGAAUAACCCCCCCUCCAUUAAAUGGUGCUAUUAAAAUACAUCUCUUAUUUUAAAUUUGUGAAAUGCUACUGCCUCAGGAAGUCAGUGGCUUUGUGUUUGCACGGCUGUGGGGUUUGAAGCAGCCGGCGAUGAAUGAUUAACUCUGCGCACUUUCCGUGUUGCAGACUCUCUGCCCCAUUGGAUCUCCCAGCUGAUGGGGUUUCGCCCGCAGACACUUUAACGUUUAGCCCGCGGGCGGCCGGCAGUAGCGGCAGCCGCGGGCGAUCGAGCCCCUGCUUUUCCCUUAAUCGCUCAUCAUUGGCUGGUUUCGGUUGACCCUCCAGUGGGUACAUGCCCAGCGUGCUUCAGUGAACACUCCCAGCAUGCCUCUUGUUUUUUUGUCCCGUGACGAUGCCAGAGUUGCGGCUGUGUUGUGUUUUUUUGUCACGGGGCAGAAGCUCACGCAGCUCAAAAGGAGAACCAGUUUCGGCCACUUUUAAAACCUCAGCUGCGGGGGGGGGCAGGGGGGGAGGGGUUUCGAUCUUCGUGCAGUCAGCAGACACGGUGUAAAAGCGACCUGUUCCCCCCCCUCCCCCCCGCUUCAAGCGCAGGCAGGCUGGAGUCGGUCAGCCUCGCAGUCAGACGUGUUCAGACACGGCUGGACUGCCUGAGGGGGGAAACGAGGCGGGCGGGGGUGGGGGCGGGGGCGGGGCUCGCUCUGUCCCUUUGCCACACCCCCGCAGAGGGAACACGGACAGCGUCUGGAGGCCUGAUUCAGGCUCGCUUGCGGCUUGCUUGCCCAGUUUGGCGCGUGAUUCUGAUUGGCGGUGCCCCUGGAGACGGUUGCCGUGAAAACAGGCGGGAGCGCUGACUUCACAGAGACGUCUCGUAGGAGGCGAGGGCGAGGGGCAGGGCGAGGGCGAGGGGCAGGGCGAGGGUUAGGGCGAGGGCGAGGGUGUAGCAGUUCGGCAUCAGUUUCUUACUUCACAUUGACUUGGGUAUUUUGUCAGUACGGCACUCAAUAAAGAUAAUGUGGCUGUGGUGCAGAGAUGAUGAUGAUGAUACACAUGGAAGUUCCUCAGUCCGGUUUUAUAUGUUACCAUGCGCUUACUUCAGUAGGCCUUGUGGAUUCAAAAUGUACGUUGAAUGCACAAAAAAAAAAAAAAAGGAAUUUUCAUUUUUUUACCCCAGAUCAAGCUCAGCUUGUAUCUGGUGAAUCUUUUUCAGAGUCUCUGGUUGAUGUCCUUCGGUCGCAGCACAGAAGAGGAGAGUGGGGGGGGGGGUCUCAGAUUUAAGGUCACACUCGAGGGGGGGGGGUGUUAUCGGUGCUAAGCCCAGUCCCUUCACUUUAAGGCCCUCCUUUCUGCCACCGGUACAGCCAGCCAGUGCUCAGUACGCCCCCCACACGCCGGCCUGCUGGUGCACGUGUCCUGUGUGCUCCUUCAGUCUCGGGCCUGUUUCGCCCUUCCUCUGAAACGUUGGUGUAACAGUAGAGUGGUAUAGAAUGGUAGUUCUAUAGGUUCUCUGUUAUUGGGACGGAGUUCUAUAGAGUGGUAGUGGUAUAGGUAAAGUGGUAGUGGUAUUGGUGGCAUAGGUAAAGUGGUAGUGGUAUUGGUGGCAUUGGUAUAGACUGCUAGUGGUUUAGAGGUGUGUAGACUGGUAUUGGUAUAGUGUGGUAGGGGUAUUAAUAUUGAGUUAUAUAGUCUGGUAUUGGUAUAGAGCGUUUUGUGGUGGACUGGUAUUGGUAUAGAGCUUGGUAUAGUGGUAUUGGUGUAGACCUGUAUAGACUGGUAUUGGUACAGAGCAGUAGUGCUGUACAGGUAUUGGUAUAGAUGUGCAUAGACUAGUAUUGGUAUAGAUCUUGGUAUAGUGGUAUUGGUAUAGACCUGUAUAGAGCUUGGUGUAGUGGUAUCGGUGUACACCUGUAUAGACUGGUAUUGGUAUAGAGCAGUAGUGGUGUACUGGUAUUGGUAUAGAGCAGUAGUGGUGUAUUGGUAUUGAUGUGUGUAGACUGGUAUUGGUAUAGAGCUUGGUAUAGUGGUAUCGGUGUAGACCUGUAUAGAGCUCGGUAUAGUGAUAUCGGUGUAGACCUGUAUAGACUGGUAUUGGUAGUAGAGCAGUAGUGGUAUAGGUGGUAAACAGUAGUAGUGGUGUGGUAUAUAAGCAGUGUUGGGGUUUCUGAUAACCGCACAGCAGUGGAUGCUGCAGUUUGUCCAGGUCUGGGCGGUGCCUGUUGCGGGUGCGGCAGUGAGCACGUCUGCAGUGAUGCAUCCCUGACGCUUGCAGGGCUCAGCGACGCUCCGGACUUUUCUGUGAGCCCUCAGUCUGCAAAAGCAGACAGUUAAUCAGGCUGUUUUUUUUGUGUUUUAGGCUGUUGUGUUUUUUUAAACUGGUGUUCACAUCGGUGCUGCUUGUAUAAAAUACAUGACUUGUGUGCAAAGCUUAAAGAAAACAAAAACACCUUCGUACAAAAAUCACAUCUUAUAUUUUGUUUUCCCUUGUGCCCAGCUGUUAGCAUUUUGUCGCAGUGGCCUGCGCACCAUAGAGGUCUCUGAUUGUGUGUGGAGGCUGCAGCCUCCGGACAGGAGCUCUGGUGCUGUACCGGUGCAUCCUCUGUGGUGCUUUAGGCAUUGCAGGGGUGUCGUUAUCUUACAGGCAUUUAGCAUAUGCGCUUAUUCAGAGCGACUUGCACAUCUUUUACCCCCAUUUUUUCCCCCCAUUUACGUAGUAUCUAUUUAUACAGCUGGAUAUGUACUGAUGCAGUUCUGGUUAAGGACUUUGUUCUGGGGUACUACCUGGGAAUCGAACCCGCAACCUCUAGGCAAGGUGACUGUGAUGUCAGUCUGAGGAGAGACUAGGAGCCUUGGUGCUCUGGAUCAGGGGCUCCCCCCCCCCCCCCCCCCGACUUUUGGCGCUUUUAUCCAGCACCCACUACAGGCUGUGAUACGGUGGCUAUUUAACACGCCGGGGAUGAUGUCAUAAGCACAGUGUGCACUUUUCUGUCUCUUCAUCGUCCUCGAAUUGAAAGGAAUGCGUUUGCUUGCAAACAGAGAAGCAGAGCAGUGCAUUGUGGGGGCACAGAGAGUGUGUCACGUCUCGCCCAAUUAAUGCUCAUGGAGUGAUUUGAAUUUCUCUUUGAGACACUAUACGUGUGUGUGUGUGUAUAUACAGGAUAUAUAUGUUGUGUGUGUGUGUGCGUGAGUGUGCGUGAGUGUGUGCGCGCGUGUCUGCGUCUAUUGGUUUUUAGGAUGUAUCCAUGUUCUCAAAGAGAAGCAAAGCUUUUUGAAGCUUUACAGCCAAAAUGCUGUUUUAGAGACUAAAGAAUUAAAAUAAAAAAUGAAUAAAAAAGAAUAGGUAUGGACUCUUCAUUUUGCUGAAGCAGUCAUUCAUAUAGGGGCUAGUAGGAAGAGUCCUUUCUUAGAUGCACUGGAAGGUCUUUUUAAUGUUGUUUAUUAUGACUGUAAAGAUUUACUCUUUGUGUUUGAUGUUUGUUGUUGCUGUUGUAAGUUUUUUUUUUUUUACUGAUACCAAUAUUACCAAUAUCCAGGUAAAGUCCCAAUAUCCUUAAAGAGCAAGGUGCUUCCCUACACUUUAAACAAGGACAAAGCAGUCAUGCAAAUGCAUGUUGUUGUUUCUCUCGUGCUUAAGAGGGGGGAAAAAAUUAAUAAUGUUGAAAUCAAGUAUAUACAAGUUAUACAAAGUUAGGUUUUUUUUAUUUUUUAUUAUUUAUCUUUUAUUUGCAUGUCCGAGACGGGAGUCAGGCAGAGGUCUCCAUGGCAACUGUCUCCAUGGCUCCUCCUACUGCCGGGUCGGUUUUUUCUGUGUCUGGUUUUACUGGCUUUGCCCUUGAGGUUCAUAAGCCAGUCUCACCAAAACUGACCCUACAGGAGCUGGUGAAACGGCAGCUGAACUGGCCGAUUCCAGCCUCACAGGACAUUCAGUGGCUGUGACGAAGGGUUCCCUUCACACUCUUCAUUUUUAGGUGGGCAAAUAAAUCUUAAGAAACCAGUUUCCUGUGUAAAUAUUAGCACUAGAUGUGGAUCGACUUCCACAAGAGAAAUGCUGUCCUUUUUGGCCAAAUCUGAGUUGUGGUUUCAAGCAGGAAUCCCUUUUGUUUUUGCAGGAUUCGUUCCUGGAUAAUAUUUGUAUAUUUAUUCUAAAACUGCUGAGUCCCACUGUAAAGCAAUUCUUUUUAUUUGCAUGAACUGUCAGCAGUUUGGUCUUCCUGCAAUAGCAACUGUUAUUCUUCAGGUUUUAAAAGGUUUUUUUUUUUUUUGGCUUGUUUUUAUAACCACAGGUAACGUGUAUGUUAACAAUGGUGCUUUUUCUGUGAACUUCCUCCUUCUCGACCGUGAUUGUGAAAUAGAGGCUCGCUGUUGCACAAUUAUGACUGCAUUUGUCUUGAAAAGACGCAUUUAUUUGACUUUUCCCUUCCCUUUCGUAAACACACACCAACCACCACUUCUAGCGUGUACUGUGAAGAUUACUGUUUUUGAGAUCUCAGUUUUCACAUUUGUGAUUGUUCCUACUCCUCAACCCUAACCCUAACCCCCCCUCUCUCCCUUAAUCUUUCUGUUCCCUCCGCCCCCCCCCAUCCCAUUUCCAGUGGUACACAGGUCACUCCUGUUUAGGUUAGACAUGCUGUACUUCACUCCUGCUUUUGUGUUAAAAUGUAAACACUGUGGACUGAAAUUGCAUGUUUGUUUUUUUUUUUAAAUACAUAUACUAUUUUAUAUCUGUAGUAAUGACAGAGAAGGUUGAGGUGAAAUACCAACCAGUAGUUCUGCUGGUUUCAUCCCCCCCCCCCCCCGAUCAGGGUCUGAUUUAAACCUCCAGGUGAGUGUGUGUAAUCUCUGGCCAAACAGUGACAUUACUGGACUGUCAGGCAGAAGACAGAACCAGCAGCACUACUAUCCUUGGGGGCCACACUUGAGUGUCCCUGGCCUGCCUGUUCAAACUGUUUGGGUGGCGAUGGAAAAAAAUGUACUGUUUCUACACCGGUGCUUCUCUCUGGCAAUGCAAACAAUAUUGUGCGUUUGGUUUAACAUGCUUUGGGGGAUUUUCCCAGCCUUUCUUGUAAUUGCUAAUAAAAUAAUGUUUCUUUGUAA